rnacentral:rRNA from 1 species
CCCGGGACCGGCCGACCGGACGGGUAGGUAACGCGUACGCAACUUGCCUAUCAGGAGGGGAUAACCCGGCGAAAGUCGGACUAAUACCGCAUGAAGCAGGGGCCCCGCAUGGGGAUAUUUGCUAAAGAUUCAUCGCUGAUAGAUAGGCAUGCGUUCCAUUAGGCAGUUGGCGGGGUAACGGCCCACCAAACCGACGAUGGAUAGGGGUUCUGAGAGGAAGGUCCCCCACAUUGGACUGAGACACGGCCAA